UAUAUGCAAUAGUAAUGUAAUUCAGAUUCUUAAUUCUGCUUUUUUCAGCGAGGUUUUCAGACAGUUACGCCUCGCUACAGAAGACACCAGCAGCUAUAUUAGCCACGCAGGGUCGACAAGGCUCUUCAGGGCCACCCGGUAAUGAUGGCUCCCCAGGACCCCCCGGAGAGCCAGGACCUCCAGGUCCCCAAGGGUAUCGAGGGCAGAAAGGGGAACGGGGUCAAUUGGGGUUGGGUCUUCCAGGACCUCCAGGCUCCACAGGUUCACCCGGAAUAGGAUUCCAGGGGCCCCAAGGUCCCCCGGGGUCCCAAGGUCCAGAGGGAAGAUGUAAACCCAGUGACUGCUUCCAUCCAUACGCCAGACGGGAUGGGUAGAAUCUGACACAUCCUCAUCAAACCUGGAAACCAGUGAAC
rnacentral:lncRNA from 1 species